UACGAAGGGGGCUAGCGUUGCUCGGAAUCACUGGGCGUAAAGCGCACGUAGGCGGCUUGCUAAGUCGGGGGUGAAAUCCUGGAGCUCAACUCCAGAACUGCCUUCGAUACUGGCGAGCUCGAGUCCGGGAGAGGUGAGUGGAACUGCGAGUGUAGAGGUGAAAUUCGUAGAUAUUCGCAAGAACACCAGUGGCGAAGGCGGACUCACUGGCCCGGUACUGACGCUGAGGUGCGAAAGCGUGGGGAG
rnacentral:rRNA from 1 species